GACGAACGCUGGCGGCGUGCCUAAUACAUGCAAGUAGAACGCUGAAGGAGGAGCUUGCUUCUCUGGAUGAGUUGCGAACGGGUGAGUAACGCGUAGGUAAUCUGCCUGGUAGCGGGGGAUAACUAUUGGAAACGAUAGCUAAUACCGCAUAAUAGUAGAUGUUGCAUGACAUUUGCCUAAAAGGUGCAAUUGCAUCACUACCAGAUGGACCUGCGUUGUAUUAGCUAGUUGGUGGGGUAACGGCUCACCAAGGCGACGAUACAUAGCCGACCUGAGAGGGUGAUCGGCCACACUGGGACUGAGACACGGCCCAGACUCCUACGGGAGGCAGCAGUAGGGAAUCUUCGGCAAUGGACGGAAGUCUGACCGAGCAACGCCGCGUGAGUGAAGAAGGUUUUCGGAUCGUAAAGCUCUGUUGUAAGAGAAGAACGAGUGUGAGAGUGGAAAGUUCACACUGUGACGGUAUCUUACCAGAAAGGGACGGCUAACUACGUG
rnacentral:rRNA from 1 species